UACGGGGGGGGCAAGCGUUGUUCGGAAUUACUGGGCGUAAAGGGCUCGUAGGUGGCCAACUAAGUCAGACGUGAAAUCCCUCGGCUUAACCGGGGAACUGCGUCUGAUACUGGAUGGCUUGAGAUUGGGAGAGGGAUGCGGAAUUCCAGGUGUAGCGGUGAAAUGCGUAGAUAUCUGGAGGAACACCGGUGGCGAAGGCGGCAUCCUGGACCAACACUGACGCUGAGGAGCGAAAGCCAGGGGAGCAAACGGG
rnacentral:rRNA from 1 species